AUUGAACGCUGGCGGCAGGCCUAACACAUGCAAGUCGAACGAGUGGCGGACGGGUGACUAAUGACUGGGAAACUGCCUGGGGGAGGGGGAUAACUACUGGAAACGGUAGCUACUACCGCACACAAUAAGCUAUGCCCAGAUGGGAUGAGCUUGUGGGGGGGGUAACGGCUCACCAAGGCGACGAUCCGUAGCUGGUCUGAGAGGAUGACCAGCCACACUGGAACUGAGACACGGUCCAGACUCCUACGGGAGGCAGCAGUGGGGAAUAUUGGACAAUGGGCGAAAGCCUGAUGCAGCCAUGCCGCGUGUGUGAAGAAGGCCUUCGGGUUGUAAAGUACUUUCAGCGGGGAGGCGUUACCCGCAGAAGAAGCACCGGCUAACUCCGUGCCAGCAGCCGCGGUAAUUC
rnacentral:rRNA from 1 species